ensembl:snoRNA
AAGACUAUACUUUCAGGGAUCAUUUCUAUAGUUACAGACUUGAGAAAUGUGUUUCUAAAGUGUCAGUCUCGCUAUCCACGAUGAAGAGGUGAUGAUACUCUUACCUGAGCGUGAAACGGGCGGAAAAGCUUGAUUUAUUUCAAUGCUUCUCGCUUUUGAUGACCGUUCUUUGUCUCUUUUAGGGACGAUGAGGGUAAAAGUAUGGUCGGAGUGGUA